rnacentral:rRNA from 1 species
AGAUUGAACGCUAGCGGGAUGCUUUACACAUGCAAGUCGAACGGCAGCGCGGACUUCGGUCUGGCGGCGAGUGGCGAACGGGUGAGUAAUAUAUCGGAACGUGCCCAGUAGCGGGGGAUAACUACGCGAAAGCGUGGCUAAUACCGCAUACGCCCUACGGGGGAAAGGGGGGGAUCGCAAGACCUCUCACUAUUGGAGCGGCCGAUAUCAGAUUAGCUAGUUGGUGAGGUAAAGGCUCACCAAGGCGACGAUCUGUAGCUGGUUUGAGAGGACGACCAGCCACACUGGGACUGAGACACGGCCCAGACUCCUAGGGAGGCAGCAGUGGGGAAUUUUGGACAA